rnacentral:tRNA from 1 species
GCUCCCGUGGUGAAAUGGAUAUCACAACGGUCUUCGGAACCGUCGUUGCAGGUUCGAGUCCUGCCGGGAGCACAA